rnacentral:rRNA from 1 species
GACGAACGCUGGCGGCGUGCUUAACACAUGCAAGUCGAACGGAAAGGCCCUGCUUUUGUGGGGUGCUCGAGUGGCGAACGGGUGAGUAACACGUGUGUAUCCUGCCCUUGACUUUGGGAUAACUUCAGGAAACUGGGGCUAAUACCGGAUAGGAGCUCCUGCUGCAUGGUGGGGGUUGGAAAGUUUCGGCGGUUGGGGCUGGACUCGCGGCUUAUCAGCUGGUUGGUGGGGUAGGGGCUUACCAAGGCUUUGACGGGUAGCCGGCCUGAGAGGGUGACCGGCCACAUUGGUACUGAGAUACGGACCAGACUCCUACGGGAGGCAGUAGGGGGGAAUAUUGCACAAUGGGCGGAAGCCUGAUGCAGCAACGCCGCGUGCGGGAUGACGGCCUUCGGGUUGUAAACCGCUUUCGCAUGUGACGAAGCGUGAGUGACGGUAAUGGGUAAAGAAGCACCGGCUAACUACGUG